CGAAAGUUCUUCGGAAUGAGUAGAGCGGCGGACGGGUGAGUAAUGCAUAGGAAUCUGCCCAGUAGUGGGGGAUAGCCCGGGGAAACCCGGAUUAAUACCGCAUACGUCCUACGGGAGAAAGCAGGGGAUCUUCGGACCUUGCGCUAUUGGAUGAGCCUAUGUCGGAUUAGCUUGUUGGUGGGGUAACGGCCCACCAAGGCGACGAUCCGUAGCUGGUCUGAGAGGAUGAUCAGCCACACUGGAACUGAGACACGGUCCAGACUCCUACGGGAGGCAGCAGUGGGGAAUAUUGCACAAUGGGGGAAACCCUGAUGCAGCCAUGCCGCGUGUGUGAAGAAGGCCUUCGGGUUGUAAAGCACUUUCAGUAGGGAGGAAGGCCCUAAAGUUAAUACCUUUAGGGAUUGACGUUACCUACAGAAGAAGCACCGGCUAACUCCGUGCCAGCAGCCGCGGUAAUACGGAGGGUGCGAGCGUUAAUCGGAAUUACUGGGCGUAAAGCGCGCGUAGGCGGUUAGUUAAGCUGGAUGUGAAAGCCCCGGGCUCAACCUGGGAACUGCAUUCAGAACUGGCUGGCUAGAGUACGAGAGAGGGUAGUGGAAUUUCCUGUGUAGCGGUGAAAUG
rnacentral:rRNA from 1 species